UACUCCAGAGCUGCUUUCAGAUCCGUUUCUACAGAAGUACCUUUCAGGUAAUCUUUCCAAACUUCUACACUGACAUAUGACAUUUGUCUUGAUUCCCAAAAUAAUUCUGAAUGCUCAUUAACUUGUCACAGACAGCUCUGUCUUUCUAGCACAGAUGGCAGAAGAGGAAAAAAAGGAAAAGAUAAAGUUAGAUCUAUGAAAUUUUAAAAUGUAAUAUUUUGCUUUCUAUCAAAUUUC
rnacentral:lncRNA from 1 species